UACGGGGGGCAGCAGUCGAGAAUUUUUCACAAUGGGCGAAAGCCUGAUGGAGCGACGCCGCGUGGAGGAGGAAGGCCUUCGGGUUGUAAACUCCUGUCACCGCAGA
rnacentral:rRNA from 1 species